UACGUAGGGUGCAAGCGUUAAUCGGAAUUACUGGGCGUAAAGCGUGCGCAGGCGGUUUUGUAAGUCUGUCGUGAAAGCCCCGGGCUCAACCUGGGAAUUGCGAUGGAGACUGCAAGGCUUGAAUCUGGCAGAGGGGGGUAGAAUUCCAUGUGUAGCAGUGAAAUGCGUAGAGAUGUGGAGGAACACCGAUGGCGAAGGCAGCCCCCUGGGUCAAGAUUGACGCUCAUGCACGAAAGCGUGGGGAGCAAACAGG
rnacentral:rRNA from 1 species